GGAGAGAUGGCUCAGCAGUAAGAGCACUGGUUGCACUUCUAGAGGACAUAGGUUUGAUUCCCAGUUCCUCCA
rnacentral:tRNA from 1 species